GGGAGUGCCAUAGCUCAGUGGUGGAGCACCUGGUCUGCAUUCAGAAGGCCCAAGGUUCAACUCCUAGCAUCUCCU